rnacentral:lncRNA from 1 species
GGUAAUAGAGACUUAAGUAGAUUAGAGAAACUAUAACUGCAUGUUGAAGGUUAUCUGGAGAUAAAAUCUCUCAGCCUCAGCUUUGAAGCCACAGGGCGUUGUAACCCUGUGAUCAGUGAUUGCUGACAAGGAAGAUUAAUCACAAAACUUUUGUUAUAAUACUUGUUAUUAUAUUAUUUGUAUUAAAUCAGUAUAGAAUUCAGUAUUCUUAACUGUGUACACGUAAGAAAUCAGACAGGAAUUACAUUCUGAACACAGUAGAAUAACAAAGGUUAAGAAAAACAAGAGUGAAACUGAUAUGCUGUCUGUUAUACCACAUACAUAUAUAUGUAUGUAUAUAAACUUAAAAAAGUACAAAAAGUAAGGAAAUUUGUGUUUGGUAGGUUAUUUCUCUGUGGUAACAAUGCUUUUUGGCAAUAAAUCUUAUACCGUGGGAAAGCCUGUUUAGUUCCCUUACAAAUGGUGCCCCAUUUGUAAGGAACAUGCACUUGUGAUCUUGGAGGAUAGAGUUCGGUCCCAGACUGUGGAGAUAUGGGAUUGCCACUGGUUGCAGAAUCUCAUCUCUAUAUCUCUCUGCAUUGAGAUUGCCUCCAAUGAUGACAAGCCUCGUUUUAUAAGUUUAUAUACAUAUAUGUACAUUCACACUUAUUAGACUUGAUGACAGAAUGAGGAAUUUAACCGUAGUCAGCCACUGGGUGAGACGAUUUUAUUUGGACAAAAUGGUGCUGAACCACUUUGUUAAACACAAUGCGGACUAGACUAGAUGAAUCAUAUCAGGUGACGUUCCUGCGUUCAGACGAUACAAAGGUCAAAAUAUAACCAGUUUACUGCUGGAACUUUGGUCCUUCAUUUACACAGCAGGUGAACUGAAGUGACAGAUUUCUUAUUGUUCAGAUCUAAAACGUUGAGGUGGAAGUCAAACACCAUGUUCAGGUUUUCUCUAAUCGUCUGUGUUUCUCUAAUAUUUGGCAUCUCAGCGAAGCCAUAUAAACCCUGGGAUAAACAUACAGAUGAAGCAUUCCAGGAUACUGUUAUGUCCAUAAAUGACAAAGGAGAGAUGUCCUGGGGAGUGGAAGUGGAGCCUCCAGAGGACAUGGAUAAGACUGCCUAUGACAUCGACCCUGCCAUGGGGAUUUGGAAGAUUGUAACGGGCAGCGAACCGGGCAAACAGCCUCUGAAUGCCGAGGAAGACUUGGAUAUGCUAUCCCACCCUUCGCUGACCGAUCUCCUCAAACUUCACCUCAAAAUGACGGGCGCCCUCCCUGAUGCCGACAUCCAGGGAGUGCUUGCUGCCAACAUGGAGCACAAACAGGAACCAGAGGAGGAUAAAGAUGAUGACGACCACCCUGUUUUCAGCCAGGUGAACUUAGAAGAACCCGAGCAGGACUGGGAUGAGGUCUACCACAAAGCGAUGGAGCAGCUGGGUGGAUAUCUGGCCCCACUCAACGCUGAGUACAAAGCUGGUGACAAGGUCCGCGUUGCUCUCUCUGAACCAGAGAUGGAUGAGGACGAGCUGUAUCAUCGCGACCACGAGCGUUUGCCUGUGCAGGCGGAGCCGCUGACACAUGAGGUCGUGGGCGAGAGUGAGGUCAAAGUUCACCUUCAACCAGAGGCAGACAUGGACGACCUGUACCACAUAGAUGUCUCACAGCUCAUCCCGUACCAAGGUGAUACUGAAGCUGCCGCUGAUGUGCUGCCUCAGAGGAAGCACAGCGAACCAGAGGAAGAUCUGGAUGAUUUCUACCACCAGUGA